AGAGUUUGAUCAUGGCUCAGGACGAACGCUGGCGGCGUGCUUCAGACAUGCAAGUCGAGCGGGCGGAGGUCGAACCGCAAGGGGAGGCUGAAGCUAGCGGCGAACGGGUGAGUAACACGUGGGUAAUCUACCCGGAAGACUGGGAUAACGGCCCGAAAGGGCCGCUAAUACCGGAUAAUAUCGCGGUCUCGCAUGAGGCUGCGAAGAAAGGCGAAAGCCACUUUCGGAUGAGCCCGCGACCCAUCAGCUAGUUGGUGAGGUAACGGCUCACCAAGGCGACGACGGGUAGCCGGUCUGAGAGGAUGGUCGGCCACACUGGGACUGAGAUACGGCCCAGACUCCUACGGGAGGCAGCAGUCGGGAAUAUUGGGCAAUGGGCGAAAGCCUGACCCAGCGACGCCGCGUGAGGGAAGAAGGCCUUCGGGCCGUAAACCUCUGUCAUUGGGGACGAAGGAAGUGACGGUACCCGAGGAGGAAGCCCCUGCUAACUACGUGCCAGCAGCCGCGGUAAUACGUAGGGGGCGAGCGUUGUCCGGAGUUAUUGGGCGUAAAGGGCGUGUAGGCGGCCUGUUAAGUCAGGUGUGAAAUUUCAGGGCUUAACCCUGAACCUGCGCUUGAAACUGGCAGGCUAGAGGACAGGAGAGGGAAGUGGAAUUCCCGGUGUAGCGGUGGAAUGCGUAGAUAUCGGGAGGAACACCAGUGGCGAAGGCGGCUUCCUGGACUGUACCUGACGCUGAGGCGCGAAAGCUAGGGGAGCAAACAGGAUUAGAUACCCUGGUAGUCCUAGCCGUAAACGAUGAGUGCUAGGUGUGGGAGGUUAAAAUCCUUCCGUGCCGGAGUUAACGCAAUAAGCACUCCGCCUGGGGAGUACGGCCGCAAGGCUAAAACUCAAAUGAAUUGACGG
rnacentral:rRNA from 1 species